rnacentral:rRNA from 1 species
UGGAGAAAGUUAGGUCUACCGGGCGUUGGUUGUCCCGGGGAGAGGCGGUAGGCAUGAAGCGUAGGCAAAUCCGCGCUUCUUUAUGCCGAGCACCGAGACGAGUCCUAUUGGACGAAGUGACUGAUACUACGCUUCCAGGAAAAGCCACUAAGCUUCAGCUACAGAGAAACCGUACCGUAAACCGACACUGGUAGGCAGGGUGAGAAUCCCAAGGCGCUUGAGAGAACUCGGGUGAAGGAACUAGGCAAAAUGGCACCGUAACUUCGGGAGAAGGUGCGCCCUCCGACGUGGUCACAUGCGUGACUGAGCGUUAGAGGGUCGCAGUAACCUGGCCGCUGCGACUGUUUAUCAAAAACACAGCACUCUGCAAACACGAAAGUGGACGUAUAGGGUGUGACGCCUGCCCGGUGCUGGAAGGUUAAUUGAUGGGGUCAGCCGCAAGGCGAAGCUCUUGAUCGAAGCCCCAGUAAACGGCGGCCGUAACAAUAACGGUCCUAAGGUAGCGAAAUUCCUUGUCGGGUAAGUUCCGACCUGCACGAAUGGCGUAACGACAGCGGCGCUGUCUCCACCCGAGACUCAGUGAAAUUGAAAUCGCUGUGAAGAUGCAGCGUUCCCGCGGCAAGACGGAAAGACCCCGUGAACCUUUACUAUAGCUUUACACUGAACGUUGAGUUCUUCUGUGUAGGAUAGGUGGGAGGCUAUGAAACCGAGACGCUAGUUUCGGUGGAGCCAUCCUUGAAAUACCACCCUGAAGUGCUUGACGUUCUAACCUAGGUCCGUAAUCCGGAUCAGGGACCGUGUAUGGUGGGUAGUUUGACUGGGGCGGUCUCCUCCCAAAGAGUAACGGAGGAGCACGAAGGUACGCUCAGCGCGGUCGGACAUCGCGCACUGUGUGCAAAGGCAUAAGCGUGCUUGACUGCGAGAUCGACGGAUCAAGCAGGUACGAAAGUAGGUCUUAGUGAUCCGGUGGUUCUGUAUGGAAGGGCCAUCGCUCAACGGAUAAAAGGUACUCCGGGGAUAACAGGCUGAUACCGCCCAAGAGUUCAUAUCGACGGCGGUGUUUGGCACCUCGAUGUCGGCUCAUCACAUCCUGGGGCUGUAGCCGGUCCCAAGGGUAUGGCUGUUCGCCAUUUAAAGUGGUACGCGAGCUGGGUUCAGAACGUCGUGAGACAGUUCGGUCCCUAUCUGUCGUGGGCGUUGGAGAUUUGAGAGGGGCUGCUCCUAGUACGAGAGGACCGGAGUGGACGUUCCGCUGGUGUUCGGGUUGUCAUGCCCAUGGCAUUGCCCGGUAGCUACGAACGGAAGCGAUAACCGCUGAAAGCAUCUAAGCGGGAAGCGCGCCUCAAGAUGAGAUCUCCCGAGACUUCGAGUCUCCUUAAGGCACCAUCAAGACUAGGUGGUUGAUAGGCGCGGUGUGGAAGUGCAGCAAUGCAUUGAGCUUACGCGUACUAAUGAGCCGUGAGGCUUGACCG